rnacentral:rRNA from 1 species
AUCAACUUUCGAUGGUAGGAUAGAGGCCUACCAUGGUGGUAACGGGUAACGGGGUGUUAGGGCACGACACCGGAGGGGGAGCCUGAGAAACGGCUACCACAUCCAAGGAUGGCAGCAGGCGCGCAAAUUACCCAAUCCCGACACGGGGAGGUAGUGACAAUAAAUAACAAUACGGGGUUCUUUCGGAUCUCGUAAUUGGAAUGAGUACAAUUUAAAUCUCUUAACGAGGAACAAUUGGAGGGCAAGUCUGGUGCCAGCAGCCGCGGUAAUUCCAGCUCCAAUAGCGUAUAUUAAAGUUGUUGCAGUUAAAAAGCUCGUAGUUGAAUUUCGGGACCAAUAUGUCGGUCGUGCCUCGGUACGCACUGGCAUCGUUGGUUUCUCCCUUCUGAAGAACCACGAUGUCAUUUAUUUGGUGUCGUGGGGAAUCAGGACUGUUACUUUGAAAAAAUUAGAGUGUUUAAAGCAGGCUCGCGCUUGAAUACAUUAGCAUGGAAUAAUGAAAUAGGACGUUUGAUUCUAUUUUGUUGGUUUCUAGGAUCGACGUAAUGAUUAAUACGGAUAGUUGGGGGCAUUAGUAUUCAAUUGUCAGAGGUGAAAUUCUUGGAUUUAUUGAAGACUAACUACUGCGAAAGCAUUUGCCAAGGAUGUUUUCAUUAAUCAAGAACGAAAGUUAGGGGAUCGAAGACGAUCAGAUACCGUCGUAGUCUUAACCAUAAACUAUGCCGACUAGGGAUCGGAUGAUGUUAAUUUUUUUAAUGACUCAUUCGGCGCCUUACGGGAAACCAAAGUGUUUGGGUUC